UACGGAGGGUGCAAACGUUGCUCGGAAUCAUUGGGCGUAAAGCGCACGUAGGCGGCCUGGAAAGUUGGAUGUGAAAGCCCGGGGCUCAACCCCGGAAGUGCAUCCAAAACUUCUAGGCUUGAGUCCCGGAGGGGCCCAGAGAAUUCCCGGUGUAGAGGUGAAAUUCGUAGAUAUCGGGAGGAAUACCAGUGGCGAAGGCGCUGGGCUGGACGGGUUACUGACGCUGAGGUGCGAAAGCGUGGGGAGCAAACAGG
rnacentral:misc_RNA from 1 species